UGGAAAUUAGCUCACUGGUAGAGCAAUCGUUUUACACGCGAUAUGGAGAAGGUUCGAUUCCUUUAUUUCCUA
rfam:Pneumocystis murina mitochondrion, complete genome.